AGAGUUUGAUCAUGGCUCAGGACGAACGCUGGCGGCGUGCUUAACACAUGCAAGUUGAACGGGGGAUAUUGAUUUCGGUUAAUAUCUUAGUAGCGGACGGGUGAGUAACGCGUGAGCAACCUACCUUUGUGAGGGGGACAACAGCUGGAAACGGCUGCUAAUACCGCAUAAGGCCACGACCUCGAUUGAGGAUGUGGUAAAAGAUUUAUCGCACAAAGAUGGGCUCGCGUCCCAUUAGCUAGUUGGUGAGGUAACGGCCCACCAAGGCUUCGAUGGGUAGCCGACCUGAGAGGGUGAUCGGCCACACUGGAACUGAGACACGGUCCAGACUCCUACGGGAGGCAGCAGUGGGGAAUAUUGGGCAAUGGGCGCAAGCCUGACCCAGCAACGCCGCGUGAGGGAAGAAGGUCUUCGGAUUGUAAACCUCUGUCCUUAGGGACGAAAAAAAUGACGGUACCUAAGGAGGAAGCUCCGGCUAACUACGUGCCAGCAGCCGCGGUAAUACGUAGGGAGCAAGCGUUGUCCGGAAUUACUGGGCGUAAAGGGUGCGUAGGUGGCUUGGCAAGUCAGAUGUGAAAUCCCCCGGGCUUAACUCGGGUGCUGCAUUUGAAACUGCUGAGCUUGAGUGCAGGAGAGGAAAGCGGAAUUCCUAGUGUAGCGGUGAAAUGCAGAUAUUAGGAGGAACACCAGUGGCGAAGGCGGCUUUCUGGACUGUAACUGACACUGAGGCACGAAAGCGUGGGGAGCAAACAGGAUUAGAUACCCUAGUAGUCC
rnacentral:rRNA from 1 species